rnacentral:snoRNA from 1 species
CUUUAUGGUUGAAGAAUGUUUGAUAAUCCCAGCUCGAUGGGACCUUUUGUAGGUUAGGGAAUAGUCUUUCUUACCCAUUAAACAUUUGAGCAUAAAG